CAGUAGCCGCGGUAAUACGGAGGGGGCUAGCGUUGUUCGGAAUUACUGGGCGUAAAGCGCACGUAGGCGGCUUGGUAAGUUAGAGGUGAAAGCCCGGAGCUCAACUCCGGAAUUGCCUUUAAGACUGCCGAGCUAGUAGGUGAGAGAGGUAAGUGGAAUUCCGAGUGUAGAGGUGAAAUUCGUAGAUAUUCGGAAGAACACCAGUGGCGAAGGCGGCUUACUGGCUCAUUCUAGACGCUGAGGUGCGAAAGCGUGGGGAGCAAACAGGAUUAGAUACCCGCGUAGUCCCUGUCUCUUAUAC
rnacentral:rRNA from 1 species